rnacentral:rRNA from 1 species
GACUGGAAUUCCUGGUGUAGCGGUGAAAUGCGCAGAUAUCAGGAGGAACACCGAUGGCGAAGGCAGGUCUCUGGGCAUUAACUGACGCUGAGGAGCGAAAGCAUGGGGAGCGAACAGGAUUAGAUACCCUGGUAGUCCAUGCCGUAAACGUUGGGCACUAGGUGUGGGGGACAUUCCACGUUUUCCGCGCCGUAGCUAACGCAUUAAGUGCCCCGCCUGGGGAGUACGGCCGCAAGGCUAAAACUCAAAGGAAUUGACGGGGGCCCGCACAAGCGGCGGAGCAUGCGGAUUAAUUCGAUGCAACGCGAAGAACCUUACCAAGGCUUGACAUGGACUGGAUCGCCGCAGAAAUGUGGUUUCCCCUUUGGGGCUGGUUCACAGGUGGUGCAUGGUUGUCGUCAGCUCGUGUCGUGAGAUGUUGGGUUAAGUCCCGCAACGAGCGCAACCCUCGUUCUAUGUUGCCAGCGCGUUAUGGCGGGGACUCAUAGGAGACUGCCGGGGUCAACUCGGAGGAAGGUGGGGACGACGUCAAAUCAUCAUGCCCCUUAUGUCUUGGGCUUCACGCAUGCUACAAUGGCCGGUACAAAGGGUUGCGAUACUGUGAGGUGGAGCUAAUCCCAAAAAGCCGGUCUCAGUUCGGAUUGGGGUCUGCAACUCGACCCCAUGAAGUCGGAGUCGCUAGUAAUCGCAGAUCAGCAACGCUGCGGUGAAUACGUUCCCGGGCCUUGUACACACCGCCCGUCAAGUCACGAAAGUUGGUAACACCCGAAGCCGGUGGCCUAACCCCUUGUGGGAGGGAG